rnacentral:rRNA from 1 species
GUCUACAGCCAUGCCACCCUCAACAUGCCCAAUCUCGUCUGAACUUGGAAGCUAAGCAGGGUUGGGCCUGGUUAGUACUUGGAUGAGAGACUACCUAGGAAUACCAGGUGCUGUAGGCA